CCCCCUAUCCCGUCUAUUGUAUCUACCCCACUGCUACCUGCUCUAUAGUGACGCCGCCUACUAUGUUCGUACCUGCGUCAAGAAUGUGUUCAUGUGUGGGUAUGUGUGUAACUAUUUACGAUAAGAUUCCAACCUGACAAAAAAAAAACACUGAGUGUUCCUCCUAAACUUGAGAUCAUAUCAGGGUUUGAAAUGCGUAUUGGACCAUGUCGUUGACUACUAACAUGCAGGCCAAGGUUCGCAAUAAUAAUCCAAUCUUCUUAUUAUAGAGGCCACAUAGGCCUGGCCCCUGAUGUAAUCAUGCAUGGACAAUCACAGGUGACUUACUAACUGUAGCCAAUGUACAAUUUGUCUCUUUAUGCUUCAGCAGUGACGUCUUCUGUAAAAUGAGUUAGAAAAGAAACGCACUUUCAACAUGCCAGCCAGGACGAAUGUUCUUUUUUGUUUAGCAGUCUGUGUGCUUUGGACACAAAAAUCUGCCCUAACACACGCCGAGACCGCGUGGGAGCCCUGCGGUGCCGGAAAUUGCCGAAAGGGGCAAUACCUCAAUGCAAAUGCAGCGAAUUGUCUCCCAUGCCCUGAAAACUCUUUUAUGGAUAUCGAGAACCACAACUGCACGGCAUGCAAACCUUGCACACUAGCGGAUCAAGACAGUCACAAAAAAGUGCUGAGUCAUUGCUCCUCCACGACAGACGCGGUCAUUCGCUGCAUUGAUGGUUACUUCAGAUCCACGUCAGAAAGCGAGAAACAAUUUGAAUGCCUUCAAUGCGGCGAGUGUGAUCCCAACGAAGUGGUCAAAGACGAAUGUUCCGACUUCAGCGACGUAGUAUGCAUGACGGCUACUACCCCGGCGACACAUUCCAGCGACAGGUAUUUGACUCCCUCUAACCCAGCGACACAUUCCAGCGAAGAGUACUUUGACAAAGGCGUGCUUAUAGCAUGCAUGUUCUUGCUAGCUAUGAUCAUUAUCGGCAUUAUAAUAUACAUCAAACGAACUCCCCAUUUCUUUAACAUGCUUAGAGAAUGCUGGCGAGGCCGUUGUCGUGAAAGAAAUCGACGCCAUUACGACAACGAGUUGCUUGUCGUGGAAUAACUUUUAACUAGUCUACAAUUCAAUGAAAGAUUUAUGCAGCAGUCCUGGAAAGGCUAUAAGCAACGUACAUUGUAGCCAAAAGUAUUGAACUUGGGGGGAAAUUAAGUCUUAGCGUCCCUAUUACAUAACAUUGUACGUUGUAUUAACAUGUAUACCUGGCCGUUGGCAUUGCAUUUUGACAUAUAAUGGUUAUGAGCUAAACCUUGUUGCGCGAUUGUAUUUCCUUCAAUCUAGAAAGAUGAACAAAUCUUUUAUCCAGGAGUAAAUUCGGACACUCAGACAACAAGUAAUAAAGGCAAUGUGAGAAACCUAUUGGUUUGCUUUUACACAAUAAUUGUAUGGUAAAAAAAAAAGACAACAGCUGUUCUGAUGUUUUUUUUUUAACAUUUCAGAGAGUGCAUUGCCAUUUCUAUGUUCUAUUUUCAAACAUGUGUGUAUUAUUUAAAUAUUUUAGAACACUUUCUUUGUGUCUGUAUGCCGACCCACUUUAUUGGAGGAAAUUAGUAGCCGUGAUCAGGGCCGGAUUUAAGGGAGGGCAGGUUUAUGGUCAAGGUCUUCCACAAGAAACGGGUCACCACCAGAGAGAAAAUACAUCUAUAUUUGGACGGGUCAGCAACUUUACGUGUUGUUGUUUUUCUUAACAUUCUAGUUCUCAUUUUGUCAAACAAUCCUUUGAAUCUUACAGUUGGUUAAAUUGUCUGGUGGUCAGGAAGUGUCCUCUCGAAGCGUUCUCGUAAUAUACAAAAGCAGCUCCGGAUUGAAUGUAUUGCGUAUACGGUAAACCCCAAUAAUAUACAUAUUUAUACCUAAAUAUGGAUAUUUAAUAAUUUUUUUUAAAGUAACAAAAUGAGAUUAAAUUUACAAAUACCGUUGUUCUAUUUCUUUCUUCUGAAAUAUGGCAUGCUUUUAGAUAUAACCCCUGUCUCACACCUGUCUCGAUACUAAAAAACUCUGUUGUUCCUUCUUCUGUUUUAAUGCAGCAACUAGACUGACUGUAAAGGUGUCGUAGGAUCUGGACGAAUUUUUCUGGGAUGCCGUAUUCUCUAACUAUUUUCUAUAGUGAUUCUCGGUGGACACUAUUAAACGCUUUCUUGAAGUCCACGAAACUGAUCGUUAGCCGUUGUUGGUUCUCAAGACUUUUUUCUAUGAUAUUUCGUAGAACGAAAAUCUGCUCGGCACAUGUUCUGCAAUAAAAGUAUUGCUAUUAAUAAAUGGAUUUUUAUUCAAGCUUUCGAAAAAGAGUGGGGCCUCCACUUUAUUAAAUCCGGCCCUGGAAGUAGCUGACUAAAAGAUUGCUAGGAGAAAGCUAGCUGGGCAGUGUAAAAAAUUGCUAUUGGGUAUGCUGCUGUAGUUUGUUUCUGACUGAAAGAAUUAGAUAGUCUUUUUUUUUUUUUAAACAUAUCCUAACGAUUAAACUAUCGCAUCAUGUACUGGACAUUACUAUAAGUUUGUCCCACCAGAGAUUUUGACAUUGGCGAAAAUCCUGUUCUUUUCAGAUAAACCUAGUAUUUAAAAUGCAAGCUUAGAAAACAUAGUAUUACGACUCUUUAAUCAGGCUGUCUGCAGUCACUGCUCAACACAACCAACUCAAGAACUUGACAACUCUGCUCUAAAUGACGCCAUACUUUAAUGAGUGUAAUAAAUAAUCAAAUACUUUACUCUUAGUUAAACGAAAAGUCGGAAUGUAAUCGCUGUACUGAACUUUACUAGUCGAUCAAUCUCGAACUCGAUUCUCACUGCUUCACUCGGGGACUCACUGUACAGGACUGACUUCACUGUGAACAAAUAGACAGAAUCAUCUGACUCACUCGUCCUUUACGUAUCGGGUCUAUCAAAGCCUUCUUGAAAAAUCACUGAAACGCCAGUCCCUUUUACACGAUCCCAUGACCAUAUCAGGGGCGAUAUUCACAUAUUGUAUUCAUACCAGCACAUUCCUGUUGGUCUGUCCCACGUCCCUUGAUCAGUACGUACUGGGCUGUGUCGCAUGUGUCAGAUGAUUUCAAACAUGAUUAAAUGUACCCGCAUCGUAACCACAAUUACAGCAAUACUAAUAUUAAUAUUAGAUGAUUUCAAGAAUACAUUGUUAUUGAAAGCUC